UACGUAGGGUGCGAGCGUUGUCCGGAAUUAUUUGGCGUAAAGAGCUCGUAGGCGGUGUGUCACGUCGGCCGUGAAAACCUGCAGCUUAACUGUGGGCGUGCGGUCGAUACGGGCAUCACUGGAGUUCGGCAGGGGAGACUGGAAUUCCUGGUGUAGCGGUGAAAUGCGCAGAUAUCAGGAGGAACACCGGUGGCGAAGGCGGGUCUCUGGGCCGAUACUGACGCUGAGGAGCGAAAGCGUGGGGAGCAAACAGG
rnacentral:rRNA from 1 species